UGAAGAUAGGGCUUGGUAUAUGACAGAUUGACUUUAGUGUAAGUGGAAGAUUGUUGGAUGUAUGUCCUAGAAGCCAAUUUUGGCUGACAUAUUUCAUAUCUUUAGGAUAUGAUUUUAUACUUAUUGGGCAGUUAUAAUACCAUUCAUAUUUAUGUGUCCAUGAAACAUCCAAGGGAUUAAUAAGAUGAUGACAUAUAUUCUCAAAGAGUUAAGAAUUUGAGAUAUGUAUCAUUAAUGGUCGAUUCCUAAAUUGCUCCUGAUCAUAAGAUCAUCAUGGGGAUGGUAAUUGAUCCGGAUAGAUCAGUACAC
rnacentral:lncRNA from 1 species